GACGAACGCUGGCGGCGUGCUUAACACAUGCAAGUCGAACGGAAAGGCCCUGCUUUUGUGGGGUGCUCGAGUGGCGAACGGGUGAGUAACACGUGAGUAACCUGCCCUUGACUUUGGGAUAACUUCAGGAAACUGGGGCUAAUACCGGAUAGGAGCUCCUGCUGCAUGGUGGGGGUUGGAAAGUUUCGGCGGUUGGGAAUGGACUCGCGGCUUAUCAGCUUGUUGGUGGGGUAGUGGCUUACCAAGGCUUUGACGGGUAGCCGGCCUGAGAGGGUGACCGGCCACAGUGGGACUGAGAAACGGCCCAGACGCCUACGGGAGGCAGCAGUGGGGAAUAUUGCACAAUGGGCGGAAGGCUGAUGCAGCAACGCCGCGUGCGGGAUGACGGCCUUCGGGUUGUAAACCGCUUGCGCCUGUGACGAAGCGUGAGUGACGGUAAUGGGUAAAGAAGCACCGGCUAACUACGU
rnacentral:rRNA from 1 species